AUUGAACGCUGGCGGCAGGCCUAACACAUGCAAGUCGAGCGGAUGAAGGGAGCUUGCUCCUGGAUUCAGCGGCGGACGGGUGAGUAAUGCCUAGGAAUCUGCCUGGUAGUGGGGGAUAACGUCCGGAAACGGGCGCUAAUACCGCAUACGUCCUGAGGGAGAAAGUGGGGGAUCUUCGGACCUCACGCUAUCAGAUGAGCCUAGGUCGGAUUAGCUAGUUGGUGGGGUAAAGGCCUACCAAGGCGACGAUCCGUAGCUGGUCUGAGAGGAUGAUCAGUCACACUGGAACUGAGACACGGUCCAGACUCCUACGGGAGGCAGCAGUGGGGAAUAUUGGACAAUGGGCGAAAGCCUGAUCCAGCCAUGCCGCGUGUGUGAAGAAGGUCUUCGGAUUGUAAAGCGCUUUAGGUUGGGAGGAAGGGCAGUAAGUUAAUACCUUGCUGUUUUGACGUUACCGACAGAAUAAGCACCGGCUAACUUCGUG
rnacentral:rRNA from 1 species